AGAAAAACAAAAUCCUGCACACCGAACCGUCGCGAGCCCUUCUUCUCCCGAUUCCCCUUCUGCUCGAUCCCUAAGAGACUCGAUCCCUAACCCUACACAGCGGCGGCGCGAGGCUGGAAGAGCGGAUGGAGGAGGGCGUGGCCGACGCUGCUACGGGUGGAGGGAUGGACGGAGAGGUGGAGGAAGGCCACGGCGCUGCACCGGCCUCGUCCUCGGGCGACCAUGGCGGGCAGGCGAAGGGCGGCCAUGGCGGGAUGAAGCAAGACGGUCAAGGCGCGGCGCCGGAGGGCGGCCAUGGCGGGGAGGUGGAGGACAGGCAAGGUGCGGCGUCGGAGGGCGGCCAUGGCGGGGAGGUGGAGGGCGGUCAAGGUGCGACGGCCACAGAUGCAAGUACUCCGGCAUGGCUAGAAGGGAUGGAUCCAAACUCAACUUCUUUACUGAAAAUCAAAUUGCUUGGCAACCCCCAAAAAGCUAGGAAGGAUAUCAAAUGCUUUUGUCAUGAUAAGGUUAUUGAUUCCGACUGACAUUGCUGGUAGGCCAUGGAUUCUUCAUGUUUCCACACUGCUAAAAGCCACAGCGGGUAGGCCUAAAACUGAGAGGUAUAAAGGUUGCGGUGAGAAAAAAAGAAAAAGCGGCCAACACUUAUGCCCUAUUUGUAAGGACUAUGGGCAUCAUUGGCACAAAUUCAAGAAGGGUAACCCAGAUGACAUUGCUGCUAUUUUAGCUGUGAGGUAAUAAAUUUAAUUGCAUAACUUGCUUCACAUGCAUUCUUUUUUGUAAAAACCGUACAUGUUAACUACUUUUUUGUUUCGUGUAGAGGACCACCAAAGAAGAGGACAAAGACCACCAAAUCAGCUCAAUCAUCAAUUGUGCCUUGUGAGGAUGAUGCUCCAUCAGCCAUAUGUUUUCCGCCAAGCCAAAUCUUGGAGAAACAAAUAAGGAAAAAGGGAAAGGUGGUAAAUCUUGGACCAGGAGGAGCAAAAAGAUCAAGAACGCAACCCAUUUGUGGUGAACAUGAUGUCGCCAACAAGAAAACACAUGUUGCUGUGAACACACGAAGCAAACGAAGACUUAGUUUGUGAUUCUGAUGUGAUUACUUUCCGUAUCAUGUUUCAUUUGGAAACUUUUGAGCUGUUUAUAUGACCUGGGCACUUCUACGUACUAUAUGUAACCUUUUGUGGACCUGGACUAUUGCAUGUCACAUUUAUGUGUGUGGAGGACCAAAUAUAUGGAUUGUUUGCAUAUAUGUGUACCUGGGCCAAGUAUGUGUGAUUCUUUU